UACGGGGGGGGCAAGCGUUGUUCGGAAUUACUGGGCGUAAAGGGCUCGUAGGCGGCCAACUAAGUCAGACGUGAAAUCCCUCGGCUUAACCGGGGAACUGCGUCUGAUACUGGAUGGCUUGAGUUUGGGAGAGGGAUGCGGAAUUCCAGGUGUAGCGGUGAAAUGCGUAGAUAUCAGGAGGAACACCUAAUGCGAAGGCAGCUCGCUGGGACGUAACUGACGCUGAGACGCGAAAGCGUGGGGAGCAAACAGG
rnacentral:rRNA from 1 species